GACGUAGGGGGCGAGCGUUGUCCGGAUUUAUUGGGCGUAAAGAGCUCGUAGGCGGCUCGGCAAGUCAGGUGUGAAACCUCCAGGCUCAACCUGGAGUCGCCACCUGAUACUGCUGUGGCUAGAGUCCGGUAGGGGAACACGGAAUUCCCGGUGUAGCGGUGAAAUGCUUAGAUAUCGGGAGGAACACCAGUGGCGAAGGCGGUGUUCUGGGCCGGAACUGACGCUGAGGAGCGAAAGCGUGGGUAGCAAACAGGAUUAGAAACCCCAGUAGUCC
rnacentral:rRNA from 1 species